AACGUUAUCAGCUUAUUCAGGUUCCAAGUUGUUGCACUAUGGCUAUACAGAUCACUCUAAACUGAGAAAUUGAAUUUGUGAUUCUGUGUGACAGAGAGUGAGGCAGGGGGUGUGUUGCUUCUAAUUUAUGAUCAAAUUAAGACUUGCAACUUUAUACCUUUACCAUCUUUCUUUUCUGCAUUUGUUUCUAACGUGGAUGAUUAUAAAGUCAGUUUCUGGCUCUUUUAUGCAGGUUUUACAGGAGCUAUGGCUCUUCAAAAGUUUCCUUGUGGCGAUGCUCCUUCUGUUAGCAUGAAACACUUGAACUUUCUCAGUAAAGUGCAUGAAAACACUCUACAUGAGGAUGUAGAGCCAAAUCAUGCCAGGGAACAAGAUGUGGAUGUUGACCUCAGAGAAGUGUAUUUCCUCAUUAUGCAUUUUCUUUCAGCUGGACCAUGUCGUAAAACUUGUGUACAGUUCUGGAACGAACUUCUUGAACAUCAACUUUUACCUAGAAGAUAUCACGCUUGGUAUUCAAGGAAAGGGUUGCAUAGUGGGGAUGAGAAUGAUGAUGGGCAAUCAUUCCCCUUGAAUUACAAUAUGUUGGUGCCAAGGUAUCCUCACAUUGAGCAGGAUCACUUGGUAAAGCUUUUGAAGCAAAUGAUCCUGAGUAUAGCCCCACCAUCAAGGGGUAUGACUGGUGGAAAUGCCCCUAAUGCAGCUGAUGUACCUACUCUCUUGGGAACGGGCACAUUUUCACUUCUGAGCUAUGAUAGGGAUCAAGAAAACAACGAAAUGAACCGACCUGCUGCUUACAUGCGUUGGCCUCACAUUAAAGCUAAUCAGGUGCAUGGGUUAGGUUUGAGGGAAAUUGGGGGAGGUUUCACCAGACAUCACCGUGCACCGUCUGUUCGUGCUGCAUCUUAUGCCAUUGCAAAACCAUCAACCAUGUUUCAGAAGAUGAAAAAUACCAAGAGAAUAAGGGGCCAUCGAAACGCUGUCUAUUGUGCAACAUUUGAUCGCUCAGGUAGAUAUGUUAUCACUGGUUCAGAUGAUCGCCUGGUGAAGAUCUGGUUAAUAGAAACUGCAUUUUGUUUGGCCAGCUGCCGUGGACAUGAAGGAGACAUCACUGAUUUAGCUGUGAGUUCCAACAAUACUUUGGUGGCAUCCGCAUCAAAUGAUUGUAUUAUACGAGUUUGGCGCUUGCCAGAUGGGCUUCCAAUUUCAGUGUUGCGGGGACACACUGGAGCUGUGACUGCAAUUGCAUUUAAUCCCAGGCCUGGCUCUACAUACCACCUUCUAUCUUCCUCUGAUGAUGGAACUUGUAGGAUAUGGGAUGCCAGGAAUUCUCAAGUGACUCCAAGGAUAUACAUUCCAAAACCUUCAGAUACUACAACUGGGAGAAACAGUGGUCCAUCCUCAAGCACUGUACAGAGCCAUCAGAUCUUCUGUUGUGCAUUUAAUGCUAAUGGAACAGUCUUUGUUACCGGUAGCUCAGACACUCUUGCGAGGGUGUGGAUUGCUUCCAAGCCAGGCUCAGAUGAGUCAGACCAACCGAAUCAUGAGAUAGAUGUGUUAUCUGGCCAUGAGAAUGAUGUCAAUUACGUACAAUUUAGUGGCUGUGCUGUAGUAUCUAGAUUUAUGGCAGCUGACACCUCAAAGGAAGAGAAUGUUCCUAAAUUUAAAAAUUCGUGGUUCAAUCAUGACAAUAUAGUUACUUGCUCUCGCGAUGGGAGCGCAAUUAUCUGGAUUCCCAAAUCACGAAGAUCACAUGUAAAUUAUUUUUACUCUAAAUGAUAACUUUCAAGUUUUAACUUUCUAUUCUAUUUUAAGCUUAUCAACGGAAAAAGUUAUGGAAAAUCUGGUCGUUGGACAAGAGCUUAUCAUCUGAAAGUUCCCCCUCCACCAAUGCCUCCUCAACCUUCACGUGGAGGCCCCCGCCAGAGAAUUCUUCCAACUCCUCGUGGUGUUAAUAUGAUUAUCUGGAGUCUUGACAAUCGCUUUGUUCUUGCUGCUAUCAUGGAUUGCAGAAUAUGCGUAUGGAAUGCUUCUGAUGGUAGCUUAGUGCAUUCUUUGACGGGUCACACUGAAUCUACAUAUGUUCUGGAUGUUCACCCUUUCAACCCCAGGUUGGCAAUGAGUGCUGGCUAUGACGGAAAAACAAUUGUCUGGGAUAUAUGGGAAGGCAUGCCUAUCUGUAUAUAUCAAACUUCACAGUUCAGAUUGGUUGACGGAAAGUUUUCGCCGGACGGAACGUCGAUUAUACUAUCUGAUGAUGUUGGGCAACUCUACAUAUUGGACAGUGGCCAAGGGGAGUCCCACAAUGAUGCAAAAUAUGAUCAGUUUUUUCUUGGUGAUUAUCGCCCAAUCAUUCAAGACAGCUUCGGGAAUGUUCUUGACCAGGAAACUCAGAUUCCAGCAUACCGACGGAAUAUGCAGGAUCUACUUUGUGAUUCAGGCAUGAUACCAUAUCCGGAACCCUACCAGAGUGCGUACCAGAAGAGACGAUUAGGAGCCCUGGGUUCUGAGUGGCGUCCUUCAUCGUUAAGACUUGCUGUUGGGCCUGACUUCAGUUUAGAUCCAGAUUUCCAAAUGCUACCUUUGGCAGACUUGGAUAUGUUAUUGACCGAGCCGCUACCAGAGUUUGUAGAUGCCAUGGAUUGGGAACCAGAAAAUGAAAUGCAAAGUGAUGAUGCUGAUUCAGAGUACAAUAUCACUGAAGAUUAUUCUACUGGAGGGGAGCAAGGAAGUUUAAGUUCAAACCCUUCUGUUGAUCCAGAGUGCAGUGAAGAAGAUAGUGACGAGGAUGCUCAACUGGAUGGACUACGAAGAUCAAGAAGGAAAAAACAAAAGGCUGAUAUUGAAGUCAUGACGUCUUCUGGAAGGUGUAUUAAAAGGAGGAACUUGGAUGACCGUGAUGAUCACUCAUUCAGAAGUAAUAGAAAAAGGAAAUCAAGGCAUGGCCGAAAAUCUUCAAAAAAGAAAUGCUCCACAUCGAAGUCACUGAGACCUCAAAGAGUUGCUGCACGCAAUGCCCUUACACUAUUUUCUAAGAUAACGGGACGACAUACAGACGGGGAAGAUGAAGAUGGAUCGGAAGGAGAAAUUUCAGGAAGUGAAUCAACGCUGCAAGAUUCAAAUGUUGAGAGUGAUGGAUCCGAUAGAGAAAAUCACCUAAGCAACCAUAUGAAAGGAAAACAGGUUUUACUCAAUGAAUCUGAGGACCCGGUCAAAUCUCAUGAACUUCCUGAACUUCAAAGGAACUCUGGGAACAGGAGGAGAUUAGUGCUAAAACUGCCAAGACGGCCGUCAAAUACAAAUACGAUUGUGGAUACAGAAAGCACAAUACAUAAGUGCGAAAAUCCGGCUUAUCUGGUUGACCAAUCUUGCAAUCACAAAGCCAGUGAAGCAAAUGAGAAUCACAUGAACUCUCAGGAUCUAAGGACCUCUCCUGGUCAGGAAAAUUGCAGCAUGUUUGAAAGAGCAGUGGGAGGGAAAUCAUACGAAGUUGAGAAUUAUUUGGACUUGACUGAGAAUUAUAAAGUUGGAAGUAUAAGAUGGGGAGGGUCCAGAGCUCGAACAUCAAAGCGGCUGAGAGUGGGAGAAGCCACAUCACUGGAUGCACUUGCCAGUACCAGUCUAGCUGUUGUUGGUCACGGUGGAAACACAGAAUCUGAAAAGGAUGGUCGAAACUUGUCCCCUCAAUUAGAAAGCCCAAGGAAUGGGGAUAUGAUGGAUGGAGUGGUUAUGACAAAUGAGAGAACUAUUGGGACUAGUACCUCUGAGGACCUUAAUGGUAAAGCUGAGGUUAAUGAGAACUCGGGUUUUAGUGAAUGCAAGGAUCAUGACCAAUCACCUAAGUCUGUUCACAUGGCUCAUUGGGAUGCAAGCACUUCCUCUGACCUCAACAAGGAUGGGAGUGUUUUCUCUUCUGAACAAAAUGAGAAGCUUACACCAGCCUCAACGAAAUUAAGGUUGCGGAAGAUUCCGAGGGGCCCUGAAUGUCCUAGUGAACAGGUUAUGAGCUCUGUAGUAGAGAAUUUGGAAAGAGGUAGAUGUAACACAUUGCCUGAAAGCCUUCCAACAAUAGAUCACGAUUCAAUUGUGCCAGAGGAUAAUGGCUCCAAAAAAUUUAACUCAGAUCAAAGAUGCAGCGGCUCACGAGAAUCAGACAUUCAAAUUGAAUCAGUCGAGUCCCAUGUAAAUAGAAACAAAAUGUUUAGUGCUGUUUAUAGGCGGGUGAAAUCACAUAGGGGUCGGAGUAAUUUGGAAGGUGAAAGUAGUGGGAAGGGAGAAGGCACUUCACAAAUUUCCAACACUAGCGACCAAAAUGUCAUUGCUGCAGUAGACUGCCGUGACGAUUCAAUUGAUGGAGCUCGUAGGACACGGUCAAUGGGGUUGAAGGCAUCUACACGUGAUCCAAGUAGUGUGGAUCAAGAUCACAAGUUAAGUCAAGGCCAUGAGCCUAGGUAUACAUUCAGAAGUGCCCAGAACAACACGGUGCACAAAUGUCAACUUCCGAAUGAAGAACGGGGAUCAAGUUCAAGGACAGCAGUUGGGUUGAGAUCAACUAGAAACAGAAGGAGUUAUUAUGAUCAUGAUGUGGAUCCAAUAGAUAACAGGAAGUCACAUCAAUCAAUGAGGAAAGGAACAUGGUUGAUGCUGUCGGCACAUGAGGAGAGCUCACGAUAUAUUCCCCAGUUAGGGGAUGAAGUUGUCUAUUUGAGACAGGGGCAUCAGGAGUAUUUUGAUCUUGGUAGGUUGAGAGAAGACCCGCCUUGGGCAUUUAUAAAGCAGAGAAUAAGAGCUGUGGAGUUUUGUAUAGUUCAAGACCUAGAAUAUUCUUUACUUCCAGGAUCUGGGGAUAGCUGCUGUAAAUUGACCCUUGAAUUUGUAGAUCCUUCAUCUGAUGUGUACUGCAAGUCUUUCAGAAUGACUCUGCCUGAAGUUACUGGUUUCCCUGAUUACAUUGUUGAAAAAACUCGCUAUGUUGCUGCAAUAGAGAAAAAAUGGUCAUGUAGGGAUAAGUGCAAAGUCUGGUGGAAAAAUGAUGGUGACGACGAUGGUAGUUGGUGGGAUGGUCGGGUUGUGCAAAUUCAGCCCAAAUCUCCUGAGUUUCCUGACAGUCCAUGGGAAAUGUGUAUGGUUAUGUACAAGUCUGUUCCUAAAGAGACACAGCUACAUAGUCCUUGGGAGCUUUUUGAUACCGCUACUGAAUGGGUGCAGCCCCAGAUUGAUGAUAAGAGCAAAAACAAGCUGCAUUCCGCCUUUGCCCAACUAGUGAAAUCAUCCCACAGUCGUCAGGAUUCGUUAGGGAUUAAUAAAUUGAAGCAGCUUCAGGAGAAGCCGAAGUUCAGAAAUUGGUGUGCGGUUCCAAUAUCUCUUGACUUGAUAGAGAGUAGGUUAGAAAACGACUAUUACCGAAGUUUGGAAGCACUGAAACAUGACUUUAAGGUAAUGCUGUUAAAUGCGCAAGCCUAUGUAGAAAGCCAUGCGGAGUCUUCAGGGAAAAUGAAACGGACAGCAGAUAAAGAAUUUCUAGAGAAACUGCAUUGUCUAUCUGGCUGGUUUACAGAGACAAUUUCGUCCUUGUAGCCGACCAUCUGGCUCUUCUAAUUUUUAUAUUUUUUUUAUUUUUGUAGAUAUUUUACCUUCAUAUGUUUAGAGG